rnacentral:rRNA from 1 species
UACGUAGGGUGCGAGCGUUAAUCGGAAUUACUGGGCGUAAAGCGUGCGCAGGCGGUUUUGUUAGGCAGAUGUGAAAUCCCCGGGCUUAACCUGGGAAUGGCAUUUGGGACUGCAAGGCUUGAGUGCGGCAGAGGAGACUGGAAUUCCUGGUGUAGCAGUGAAAUGCGUAGAUAUCAGGAGGAAUACCGAUGGCGAAGGCAGGUCUCUGGGCUGACACUGACGCUCAUGCACGAAAGCGUGGGGAGCAAACAGG